CCUUAUAAAGAGCGGGCGAGGGAAUGGGCCCUUUGACCCCGCGGCAACCUCACAGGAAGUGAAGGUGCCAAAUCCCACGGAGCGAAGGCCAGGCUCCGGCAGAUGAGG
rnacentral:ncRNA from 1 species